ensembl:antisense Gm12280 predicted gene 12280
AGGAAGACAUUUCCUGGUCUGGGUGACUGCAACAGAUCAAACCAGGCAGGAAUUGGUGCAAAGAAGGAGCAGAAAGACUGUCACAGGUAGAAGAAUGAUCCUGGGGCAGAAUGACGAAGGACAGGCUCUGGCAGCUCAGUCUGGGCCAAAGGUGCAUCAGAGUGAGGCAGAAGAUGACGACAAUCCAGCAAUCAGCCAAGCCAAGGAAGGAUCCGGGAAGCAGAAGAAGUCAAGGCUCACUACCAUCUGUAACAAGAUCUGACUCCCUCUUCCGGAGCGUCUGAAGACAGCUACAGUGGGGAGAGAGACAGAGACAGAGACAGAGACAGAGACAGAGACAGAGACAGAGACAGAGACAGAGACAGAGACAGCCUGGUCUACAGGGUGAGUUCCAGAACAGCCAGUGCUAUACAGAGAAACCCUGUUUCGAACCCUCCCACCCACCCCCAAAGAAAAAGAAGAAAGGUCUGCCUUUGGACCUCCAAGGAUUCUCAAGGGUAUCAACCUGGGUCUCGCAUCUCUGCAAGGGAGCUGGUGGGCGCUGGGGUUGGAGGGGACCAUGUAGCAUCUCCCUCUGGUUUUACAGAGCUCAAAGGUUUCCCGAAACAAGGUCCUAGGAGUACCUUACACAUUAAGAGGGACAUACCCAGGGAAGCAGAUUCUGUUGUUAGCUAAUUAGAUGGGAGGCAACAGAAACCUGUUUGUAAGUGGUGGCUAGAGCUGACCCCAGUGGUCUGGUUAGUUUCCACAGACUAGGUGAGAGCUGAUAAACUUUUGACUUGCAACCAGGCUUUGCCAAAGAGGGAUUUUUUUCCCCCAAGCAAGGUCUCUCUAUGUAGUUCUAGUUGUCCUUGAGUUUCCUAUGUAAACCAAACUGGCCUCAAACUCACAGAGAGUCUCCUGAUUCUGCCUCCUGUGCUAACGUCAAACGCCUGGCUGCCUGAGAAACUUUUAUGUGGCCCUAGGUAUUUAGAUAUAUGAAAUAAGUUUAUAAAUAAAACCCUUGCCAAUGUAAAUCAAAGAAUUUUAAAUAAUUCAGCUACCUAUCUAAUUGUAUACCAUUUUUAAAUAAAUAAAUAAAUAAAUAAUUUUUUUUUUGAGACAGGAUUUCUUAGUGUAACCAGCCCUGGCUGUCCUGAACUUACUUUGUAGACAAGUCUGGCCUCAAACUCACAGAGAUCCACCUGCCUCUGCUCUCUAGGUGCUGGGAUUAAAGGCUUGAGCCACCAUACCUGGCUUGUACACCACUUAUUAGAGAUGAGAGCUAAUCACAUACCAAGAUGGAGGUGCCUGCUUAUUUCUGCAUAAAGAACUAAACCUUAGGGGGCUGGCGAGAUGGCUCAGCAGGUAAGAGCAAUAACUGCUCUUCCCAAGGUCCUGAGUUCAAAUCCCAGCAACCACAUGGUGGCUCACAACCACCCGUAAUGAGAUCUCAUGCCCUCUUCUGGUGCAUCUAAAGAUAGCUACAGUGUACCUAUGUAUAAUAAUAAAUGAAUCUUUGGGCCAGAGCAGGGCUGACUGGAGCGUGUGGACAGGGUUGACUGGAGCAAGCAGAGGUCCUAAUCCCCAUGAAGGCUCACAACUAUCUGUACAGCUACAGUGUACUCACAUACAUAAAAUAAAUAAAUCU